GCCCGAGUGGUGAAAUGGUAGACACUGUGGACUUAAAAUCCCCUGUUCGUAAGGACGUGCCGGUUCGAGUCCGGCCUCGGGCA
rnacentral:tRNA from 1 species